AGCGCCUUCUGGGAUCGUCGAAAGGCGGGGGCGGGUGAUGACGUCACCAUCCCGGGAGCAGACUUCCGUGGGGCCUCAGUCUCCGGAUUUCCUCUAUGUUUGCUUCCAACUCUGAAGCUGGUUAUUCCUGCAAGGGGCUAUGGGAAGGUUAUUUAGUGCAGCCCCGAAGAACUGUGGGAAACUGCUUUCUCUAAGCGGAACAAUGAAAAAAGCACCUGCCCCGGACCAAUUAACCUGUUAAUGGGCCACUUUCCGGCUUUAUUCUUUAAGCACCACCUGAACCCAAUCUGGCGCCUUCUGGCUCUAACUUUGUGCUCCUCUAAUUGUUCUAUUGUUCCUCACGCUGAGCCGAAGAACGCUUUAGUGCUUAGCGCAGACUUAAUUUGCGGGGCUAGCCCGCCUCUUGGUGUCUAUUUAGGCAGAUCCUCUGCAGUUGUAAGAAUAAAGAACGCUUUAAUUAAGCUAGAAAACACGGAGUACCGAUAAUCCUUCCACACGUUAAGUUCUGUCCACUCGUCUUAGAGGAAAGGGAACCGAAGUGUAAACGGCGAAAUCUCUUGCCCAAGCUCAGUCGGCUGAGAGUAUUUUCUGAGUACCAGCUGUGUGCCAGGCAAGUGCUAAGGCAGCAAAGCCCGAAGUCGUGCCCUUGGGGAUCUCCGGAGCAAAGGAGUAGAAACGACACACACAAGGCAGGAUAAACUGCAAACGAUCAGUAGAGGGAAGGCGCUAGAUUUAAGGGAGCUCAGGGAAAGCUUCUUAUAGAAGGGAGGAUUUUCGCUGGAUUCGCAGAAAGCCAGGUCACCUAAGGAGUAGCUACAGAAGUCAAAUUUGAAUCCAGGACCUCCGACUCAUUGAUUUCGACAUAUGCAGAAAAGGCUUUGUUUGUUUUUAAGUUUUUUGAUAGGUUCUAUAUCCCCAUAGUACCUAAUAACCUUUCUCUUCCCAAAGAGGCAUGCCAUAUGACAAAUAGUAUUUUUAGAGUUUGGUCGGGAAAAGUCCACAUAAGUGAAAAGAUCUAAAAAAUUAUGUGCAGUGUGUAACAACUCGACCUCCCAGCUCCAUCAAAGGAUAGGUUGCAGGUGUAAGGUCCCACUUGAUCUUUAUAAAUUUUUAAAUUAAAAAAAAAUUUUAACCUAUCAUUUUAUUCUUUAACAUUGCAGUUACUGGCUACUCUUGAUUCUGCAUCCGUUCAUAUAGAUUGUUCCAUGUUUCUCGGUAUUCAUUGCAUAUAUAAUUUCUUACAUUCAUGCUGCAAUUCAUGUACCACAAUUGAUUUUAGCCACAUUCCAAUUUAUGAUCAUCCACUUUAUUUCCAAUUCUUAGCUAUCACAAAAACUGGUAUUAUAAAUAUUUUGGAGUAUGUGGGGGCUUUUUUUUUUAAUUUUUAUUUAAUAAUUACUUGGGGCUUUUUUCUUAUUGAUGGUUUCCUUGAGGCAUAUAAUCUUGGUAAUGUCAUUUCCAGUUCAAAGGGCAUGGAUAUUUUAGUCACUGUAUAUUUAUUAUAUUUAAUCAUGUAUAUUUAUUAUUGGUUUGAAUAUCUUGAAUGCCAAACUCUUAUUAGAGAAAUUUUGAUACAAAAAUUUUUUCCCAUUGGACCAUUUUUCCUUUUUAUCCUACAUGCAUUAAUUUUUUUUUCUGAAGCUUUUCAAUUUCAAGUAAAUCAGUUAUCUGUUUUCUCUUUUGUAAUUUCCUUUUUCUCUUGGUUAAGAAUACAUCUCUUACGUGUUCCAAAUCAUUAUUGAUCAGAGAAAUGCAAAUUAAGACAACUCUGAGAUACCACUACACACCUGUCAGAUUGGCUAAGAUGACAGGAAAAAAUAAUGAUGAAUGUUGGAGGGGAUGCGGGAAAACUGGGACACUAAUGCAUUGUUGGUGGAGUUGUGAACGAAUCCAACCAUUCUGGAGAGCAAUCUGGAAUUAUGCCCAAAAAAUUAUCAAAAUGUGCAUACCCUUUGAUCCAGCAGUGUUUCUAUUGGGCUUAUAUCCCAAAGAAAUACUAAAGAAGGGAAAGGGACCUGUAUGUGCCAAAAUGUUUGUAGCAGCCCUGUUUGUAGUGGCUAGAAACUGGAAAAUGAAUGGAUGCCCAUCAAUUGGAGAAUGGCUGGGUAAAUUGUGGUAUAUGAAUGUUAUGGAAUAUUAUUGUUCUGUAAGAAAUGACCAGCAGGAUGAAUACAGAGAGGCUUGGAGAGACCUACAUGAACUGAUGCUAAGUGAAAUGAGCAGAACCAGGAGAUCAUUAUACACUUCGACAACGAUAUUGUAUGAGGACAUAUUUUGAUGGAAGUGGAUUUCUUUGACAAAGAGACCUGAGUUUCAAUUGAUAAAUGACGGACAAAAGCAGCUACACCCAAAGAAAGAACACUGGGAAACGAAUGUGAAUUAUCUGCAUUUUUGUUUUUCUUCCCGGAUUAUUUAUACCUUCUGAAUCCAAUUCUCCCUACGCAACAAGAGAACUGUUCGGUUCUGCAAACAUAUAUUGUAUCUAGGAUAUACUGCAACAUAUCCAACAUAUAAAGGACUGCUUGCCAUCUAGGGGAGGGGGUGGAGGGAGGGAGGGGAAAAAAAAUCGGAACAGAAAUGAGUGUCAAUAUAAUGUAAUUAUUAAAUAAAAAAUUAAAAAAAAAAUGAAAAUCUGAAAAAAAAAAAAAAAAAAGAAUACAUCUCUUACCUAUAGAAGUCCUGUACUUAACACUGUAUUGCUUCUCAAAUAGUACUUUAAUUUCAGCAAAGCAUUUAACAAGGAUUCCCACACUGAGUCAUUAGUGAGUCAGGGCCAUCCUGGAGGAAAAUUUAUGAUAGUGUGACAAUAGAGAUCUGGUCUUAGCCCUAUACUGUUUAACAUUUUUAUCAAUUUGAAUAUAAAAUUUGCUUAGUACAAGAUGAUACAAACCUGUCAUUAAAUGACUUAAGUAUCCAAAGUGAUCUCAACAGUUUACAUCAAUGGACUGAGCAAAUAAAAACUGAAUUUAACCAGGACAAAUAGAAUUACAGUUUAAAUCAGGAAGGUACCUUAGAAAUAAUAUAACCCAAUUCCCUAUUUUACAGAUGAGGAAACUGAGGCAUAGGGAUCUGCCCAAGAGCACCCACAUAGUACCUGGCAGAACUGGAAUUCAAUCUCAGUUCUAUAUCUAAUAUAUAAUGCUCUCCUAAACUGCAUUAAGAGAGGUAUAGCUUUCAGAAUGAAGGAGAUAAAGGUCCACUUAUUUCUUAUCUAAUCAAACCUAAACUGUUGGAUCACAGUAUUCAGUUAUGGGCACAAUAUUUUAAGAAAAACAUAGACAAGCUGAAACUUUCAGAGAAAAAUAAUCAAGAUCAUGAAGGAACAGGAGAAUGGGCCAUAUAAAGUUUGGUGAAGGGAUUUUUUAACCUGGAGAAGGGAGGAUUCAAGUAUCUUAAGCACUUUAAUAUAAAUAAAGGAUUAGAUUUUUUUCUGUUUGGCCAAUUGAGUCUAUAAGUUUGCCAUUUAUGCCUUAAUUCAAAUUAUGCUCUAAUGUUAAAUUACCUUGAGUCAAAUACAAUCUCUGGACUAUUCUAUGAGAAAAUUCCUUUCACAUUGCCACCAAACGAUCAAUGAUCCUUUGGAUCCAGCCUCUAGAUAUAUCUUUAAAAGAUUUUAAAUGCCAGAAAUAGGAGUGUAUCCUAGAGGCACUAGAGAGUCACCAAAAGAUUUCUGAGCAAGGGAAUAUUGUGGUCAGACCUGUAUUUUAUGAAUAGCAAUUUGGCAGUAUUCUCCUAUGUGGAGGACAGAUUGGAGAGGGGAGGGAUUAAAGACAGGAAAAUCAUUUAUAAAGCUAUGGCAAAAUCUGAAUGAGAGGUGAUGAGGACCUGAAUUAGGGUGCUGUUCAUGUGAGUGGACAGGGAAGAAUGGCUGUAGAAGGCAGAAUGAGAUUUGGGAAUUGAUUGGAGAUGAGAUCUGAGAGUAAAGAUGGAUGACUCCAAGAUUAUCAACCUAAGUGGCAAUGGAAAUAAAAUAUGUGGAUAGGAGAAAUACUGCAGAGAUUGGAUGUGGAAGCCAAAGGAAAAGAAAGAGUUGAUGACUGAUUCAAUGUUUUAAGUCGAGGUGACUAGGCAGAUAGUGGUGCCAUUAAAAGAAAUUGGAAAGUUUGGAAGAUGGAUAGGUUUAGGGAGGAAAAUGUUGAUUUCCAUUUAGCACUUGUUGAAUUUAAGGUGUAGACAGAAUUUCCAGGUGGAAAUACCGUUUGGGAAAUUAGAUAUACCUGUGAGAGCUUGUGGCUAGAAAUGUAUAUUUAGGAGUCAUCUGCAUAGAAGUAGUAAUUGAACCCUUGGAAGUAAAUGAACUCUUUGUGAGAGUGUAUAAAAUAGGAAAAGAGUGCUUCAGUUGAAGUCUUGAUGAAAACACACAUUUAAUAGAUUAGGAGAACAAGGAACCAAUGAAGGAAAUAGAGUAGCUAAAGAGGAAAGAGGAGAUUCAGGAGGGAUUCAUAAUAAUUCUACUACCCUUCCCUUUUGUUGACUAUGGUAUGAAGCAUAUAUUUUAAAGAUCUGUUUCAGUGGAGGGGAAGUGGAGCAUUAAGAAUGUUAAAAACUGAUGAGAGAAAUAAUCGAAGUUCCUGUUUUGGAAAUUAUUGAAAGGUAAAAUGUGGAACAAUACAUAAUGCCUUACAUCUAUUGGAUACAACAAAUAAAUGUUUGUUGAAUAUGCUUUCCAUUUUAAAAAAUUCUCAUAAUUUUACCUUUAGCUACUAAAACUACAUUAGGGAAACCAAGAAACUCAUAAUUGCUUGAAGCUACAAACAAUGGAAAUGAGUCAUUUAUUUCAUUUUUGCAAAGCUGAAGUGCUUGAACUAAGAGAAAAAAGAUGUGGGAUGAUGGUGAGUCAUUUCAGUUACAGAAAUAAGAUAGCAGGAUGGUUUAUCUGUGGACCCCACAGAAAAGUAGUAGGAUAGGUUGGGAUCUUCCUAGAAAAAAAAGAUGACAUCAUAUGGCUUCUCACCCACACUGAAGAAAAGUAUAUGAUUUUAUUCUGGAUGGAGACCUUUAAAAAACAAUUCUUUUUAAAGAUAAAGUGUUCUCAUCACAAGGGGACCCAGAUGACCUGAAAAACAACUGCUUUAAAACCCUAAUUAUUCAUCUCCCUGCUUCCAUUUCCUCUCCUCCUCUCACUAUCCAUCUUCUAUACUAUUGCCAGAUUGAUAUUCCUAAAGCAAAGAGAUAACCUUAUCACUUUCCGGUUUAAAAAAAAUCUUAAGUGGUUCCUGAUUAUUAUUAUUAGCAACCUAAGAUAAAAUAAAAUAUAUCCAGCCUGGCAUCUUUAUAAGAUUUGGCCUGAUGGUCUUGAGAUCACCAUGACAGUUUCUGCUCAAAGGAGACUAUGGUUUAUAGAAUCUAUGAGUGUAAUGCCGAAAAAUUGAGCAAGAUAGAGAUUAGAGAGUAUUUAAUAAUUUAUUAAAUGGAGAGAUAUACUGUGACCAAUGGAUCCAUGUUUGGUCCCAGGGCUGAAUGAGACUAUCAUCUCCAAGAAUUCAGCAAACAGAGUUUUCAAUGACAUAUAUACACCUGGCUCAGACAAAGAGGGUAGACUGAGGCAGGGGUGGAGUCAGGGUACUGAGAGCAGAAUGGGAUUCUGGCAGAGUCGGGUGAGCCUCUGGAGAAGGGAUGACAAAUCAGGGGGAGGCAUCCCGGAAAUGGGGAGAGGCAUCUUGAUAGGACAGUAUCUGAUAUUUUAAUUGCUUGGGAUGGGAGAGGCAUUCUGAUGUUCUAUCAAGUAUUCUGAUAAAGAGGGAGGGGAGGUUUUGCAGAAUUGAGAAGCAGGAAAACUGAGGCAGGACUGAGUCAGGAUAAUUAGGAAAACUGAGUCAGGACAAUAAAAGAGAACUGUGCAUAACAUGAGUAAAAAAAAAAAUGCUGGCAAUAUUUUUUUUAAGAUUUGUGCACCAGAAAGAGAACCAUGGGAACAGAGUGUGGAACACAACAUCGCAUUCUCACUCUCUCUGUUGUUAUUUGCUUGCAUUUUGUGUUGUUUCUCAGUUUUUCUUUUCCUUCCUUCUUGAUCUGAUUUUUCUUGUGCAACAAGAUAACUAUAUAAAUAUGUACACAUAAAUUGGUUCUAACAUGUAUUUAACAUGUAUUGGACUAUCUGCUCAUUGAGGGAGGGGAUGGUGGAAGGAGGGGAAAAUUUGGAACAAAAGGUUAGGCAAGGGUCAAUGUUGGAAAAAUUAUCCAUGCAUAUGUUUUCUAAAUGAAAAGCUUUAAUAAAAAAAAUUUUUUUUAAGAUUUGUGCACUUGUGUAUCUACAAAUACCUUGCUGUUUUCCCUGUAUUUAUGUCCCCCAAGAAUCAAUCCUCUGUGAACCCUGACAUGGAAAGCAUCCAAUUCCCCAGGGCCACCAAAAUGAGGGUAUAGAUACCUCACUUUCUGAAGGACACCUGCAGAAUUUUCUGUAGAAUUGACCUGUGUCACUGUGCUUCCCAUCACUGAGUAGACUCUCCUCCCUUUCCCUUUCCUCCUCUUCCCUAUUGCUUGUCAAUAAAGUUUUGCAUGGAACCAAA